CCAGCAGGUUGUUCAAACAUUUAACCCAUCCGCUGGCUUUGUCCAUUUUCAACCCAACUUGGCUUGUUUUUAACCCAGCAUUUUUUAAGGUGUGAUUGUGUUUACUAUAAUCUCCAACGAUCUCCUGUGUUUCGGUUUUGUGAAUUACAAUAAAGAUUAUUAUGUAUUCUUUGUCAUGCGCAUCUCUACAGCACCCAGACAGAAAUAAGUAACCACACCUCUUCUAAUGACCACCUCUAAAGAUUAUAAAGUAAAACUGGAAGUAAAAAUUUCUGUGCAGCUGACAUCCCUUUCUACACAAGGCUUUUACAGAGUUAAUAAAGAAUGGACUGCGGUUGGUGCUGCAGAAAACCGUGUGAGAACUGCAAGGAGAAUUGCACUGAUGAAUGUAAAUGUCAGUGUCAUCAGACAGACCAGACAAUAGCUUCAUGGAAGAUUUGCUGUGGCCGGUUUGGGGAAUGUUGUCGUACCUGCUUGCGCUGCUUUUGCUUCGGCUUAGAAGCCUUCUGCAGUGCACUUUGUCAACCCUGAAGCUUCACCACACUCUGGAGAACAUCAGGAUACUACAAUGACAAUCAGAAAAACAAUAUUGAAAAAUUGAAGAUCAAGACAGUCUUUAAUGACUGUAAUUAUUAUUAUUGUUCAUUUAACAAAAAUAAACAAUGAUAAUUUAAAAUCUAAAAUUGUUGUAUUGAUUGCCUUUCUUUUAUGAGUAAUAUCAUGCAACUCUGACGUCAUUGGAUUGUUGUUUAAUGCAUCGCCACCAGAGGGAGACAUUCAAAAGCAUUUGAAAACUUCAGAAUGAACCCUACAACACACAACAUGACCUUAGAUUUUUUUUUUUUUUUUUUUUGUUAGAUUAAUGCUUGGCACUAGGAUCACCAAGGUCAUGUGUUCAAUUGAAUGAACUAAUGAAUGUAUACCUUGAAUGCAGUGUAUGCAUGUUUUAAAUAAAAAACAUUUGCCAGAUGCA